rnacentral:rRNA from 1 species
CGGAGGUACUCGAGUGGCGAACGGGUGAGUAACACGUGGGUGAUCUGCCCUGCACUUCGGGAUAAGCUUGGGAAACUGGGUCUAAUACCGGAUAGGAGCCAUCUUUAGUGUGGUGGUUGGAAAGUUUUUCGGUGUAGGAUGAGCUCGCGGCCUAUCAGCUUGUUGGUGGGGUAAUGGCCUACCAAGGCGGCGACGGGUAGCCGGCCUGAGAGGGUGUACGGCCACAUUGGGACUGAGACACGGCCCAG